rnacentral:lncRNA from 7 species
GAACAAAAAUGCUGUGUUAGAUGAAAACCAUCUGGUGUCAACAAAAACCAUCCCUGUGGUCAAGCAACAGCUUGGGACAAGUGGAUGUUGUUUGAAAAGUCACUGGGCCAGAAGCAGGGUUGAUUCCAGCCUCUGAAACGGGCACGAAUUCUUCUCUCGUAAUAAGAAAGGUGCCACCCAAACGUGCAGAGUCCCGCUUGUCUCAAGUGUAGGGAGAGAAGGCAAACCCCAGGUUGGUGCAGCCCCAAGUGCCCAGCCAAGACAGAAGAGCUUUCUUCUCACUGCUUUGAAUGCUGCUGUGGAGUACUGUGAUGUUUCCUGGGAGUGGCUCUCAGGAGACCGCAAGCUUUAAAUCCCCCGUUGCCUCCAUCUCUGCCAAAGCCCCCGUGUGCUCCUGGGCUUUUUUGCUCAGCUGAGUUUUCACAAAGGUUUGGCUCAAUUCCCUGCAAACCAGCCUUCCCCCAGGCAUCCACCAGGCCUUAGGGAGAGGCUCUGCUUCGUUUCUUCACACCACGCCUUUUAAUCUACAGCCAGAGCAGGAACCAAAGUGGAAAAACACAGCAAUUGCACAGGGGCCGCUGCAGCAGGUGCCUGCGGGAGCCUGUUCCUAUGAGCCCUCGGGCACUGGGAUUUGCAGAUUUAGGCAAUUCCGGGCUCUUGGAUGCUCUUUGUGGAGAAGUUUGUGAACGUGGGAGUGUUUGUGUGAACUCCAACCCUUCCUCAGAGCUGGGCUGUCAGUCAGCAGCGCUGGCAUCAAAUGUGCAUCCCCACAUCAAAGCCCUGCUGACUUCCGAUGAAGGGAAACAAGGG